rnacentral:rRNA from 1 species
GACGAACGCUGGCGGCGUGCCUAAUACAUGCAAGUCGAACGCACGAAGUUGAAGAGCUUGCUCUUUAACCAAGUGAGUGGCGGACGGGUGAGUAACACGUGGGUAACCUGCCCAUUAGAGGGGGAUAACAUUCGGAAACGGAUGCUAAUACCGCAUAGUUUCAGGAAUCGCAUGAUUCUUGAAGGAAAGGUGGCUUCGGCUACCACUAAUGGAUGGACCCGCGGCGUAUUAGCUAGUUGGUGAGGUAAUGGCUCACCAAGGCAAUGAUACGUAGCCGACCUGAGAGGGUGAUCGGCCACACUGGGACUGAGACACGGCCCAGACUCCUACGGGAGGCAGCAGUAGGGAAUCUUCCGCAAUGGACGAAAGUCUGACGGAGCAACGCCGCGUGAGUGAAGAAGGUUUUCGGAUCGUAAAACUCUGUUGUUAAAGAAGAACAAGGAUGAGAGUAACUGCUCAUCCCCUGACGGCAUUUAACCAGAAAGCCACGGCUAACUACGUGCCAGCAGCCGCGGUAAUACGUAGGUGGCAAGCGUUGUCCGGAUUUAUUGGGCGUAAAGCGAGCGCAGGCGGUUCUUUAAGUCUGAUGUGAAAGCCCCCGGCUCAACCGGGGAGGGUCAUUGGAAACUGGAGAACUUGAGUGCAGAAGAGGAGAGUGGAAUUCCACGUGUAGCGGUGAAAUGCGUAGAUAUGUGGAGGAACACCAGUGGCGAAGGCGACUCUCUGGUCUGUAACUGACGCUGAGGCUCGAAAGCGUGGGGAGCAAACAGG